UUCAACAACUCGUUGAUCAACAGUCUUGGUUUCUUUCACUGGGAAUAAGCGAAGAUUGUUUUUUCAUCAAUCAUUGAAAUAGUAACACUUCAUCAAUACUUUUAAUCAUGACUCGUCUGAUAUCCAACAAUGGAUUGAGAUCAUAGAUUUUUUAUUAGAAAGGAUUGGGAAAAUAAUCUCAUUGAACCAAUCAUUGUCGUAUUAAUGCUGAUUUUAUCUAAGCCGAUGGUUUCAUAAUUUAAUUGAUUGUUUCUAAUGAAAUCUUUAAAUUACUUGCAUUUUUGAGUUGAUAAACACUUUGAAGCAAAAAUCACAGAUGAAAACGAUUGAUGAACAGAUUGCAUUACAAUCUGUUCCACACCACCGACAUGGUCCAGUCCAGUGAAGGUUAACAGUUUUACACUCGUUUAUGGAUCGAUUUGAUUUAUGUUGAAAAAAGAGAUUCCAUAGAUUCAGGUCGCCCUUGAAACUCAUUUGUGGACCAGAAACGAGAUGACUGAUGAGAAACAAGACUAUCAGUUUAUCAAUGAUUCAUUAUCAAAUAUUUGGAUAGGAAAUAUUCUAACGGAAGUCUCCACUGUAUUUCAAUGAAUGUUAUUUCAUGGUAUCACAAAGAUCUAUUGACGAAAACACAUCUCUGGAAGAUUAUGUGACGAUAACUUGAUUUAGUUUAGCUUUUUGCCUUUUUUAACUUGAAUCUGUUAUCUUCAUGAAAACAAGUUAAUUAUUUUGAACAAUCAA